rnacentral:rRNA from 1 species
GAUGAACGCUGGCGGCGUGCCUAAUACAUGCAAGUCGAGCGAACAGACGAGGAGCUUGCUCCUCUGACGUUAGCGGCGGACGGGUGAGUAACACGUGGAUAACCUACCUAUAAGACUGGGAUAACUUCGGGAAACCGGAGCUAAUACCGGAUAAUAUAUUGAACCGCAUGGUUCAAUAGUGAAAGACGGUUUUGCUGUCACUUAUAGAUGGAUCCGCGCCGCAUUAGCUAGUUGGUAAGGUAACGGCUUACCAAGGCAACGAUGCGUAGCCGACCUGAGAGUGGGAUGGCCCACAGUGGCACUGACACGGGCUCGAGCCCCCUCCGGGAGGCACCAGGGGGGUUUCUUCCGCAAGGGGCAAAGCCCUGCCGGAGCCCCGCCGCGUGAUUGAGGAAGGUCUUCGGAUCUAAAACCUUUUUUAUUGGGGAAAAACAAUUGUGAAAGUACCUAUCCCCGUCUGCAGGUUACCUAAUAAAAAACCCACGGCUAACCACGUC